UUGAUUAUGACGUACUUGUACUGAUUGAGAUUUUAACACGAAGUGAGUGGCGAACGGGUGAGUAACACGUGGGUAACCUGCCCAGAAGUAGGGGAUAACACCUGGAAACAGAUGCUAAUACCGUAUAACAGAGAAAACCGCAUGGUUUUCUUUUAAAAGAUGGCUCUGCUAUCACUUCUGGAUGGACCCGCGGCGUAUUAGCUAGUUGGUGAGGUAAAGGCUCACCAAGGCAGUGAUACGUAGCCGACCUGAGAGGGUAAUCGGCCACAUUGGGACUGAGACACGGCCCAGACUCCUACGGGAGGCAGCAGUAGGGAAUCUUCCACAAUGGACGCAAGUCUGAUGGAGCAACGCCGCGUGAGUGAAGAAGGGUUUCGGCUCGUAAAGCUCUGUUGUUAAAGAAGAACGUGGGUAAGAGUAACUGUUUACCCAGUGACGGUAUUUAACCAGAAAGCCACGGCUAACUACGUGCCAGCAGCCGCGGUAAUACGUAGGUGGCAAGCGUUAUCCGGAUUUAUUGGGCGUAAAGCGAGCGCAGG
rnacentral:rRNA from 1 species